UCCCUGGUGGUGUAGCAGUUAAGGAUCCAGCAUUGUCACUGCUGUGGUGCAGGUUUGAUCCCUGGCCUGGGAA
rnacentral:tRNA from 1 species